UUUUUGUUCAAACCAACUUUCAUUAAUAAAACUUAGACUCCAUCAAUGGAGGAAUUGUUCAACAGAAACAAUAACACAGCCACAUUAGCUAAAUAAACCGCUGCAAAAGCAAAACGGAUAACACAAACAUAGAUAAAAGCAAACAUAACACACAAGCAACUUAAAAGUGAAACACCAUGAAUGCUACUGAGUGAGAUGAAGCCACGGGAAUUGGAGAACACGUUCAGUGAGCUGUUACCCGAACAUGCUGCAGCAACAAAUGCAUAGAGAGCAGCAAGAAACUUGGCUACACAGGUGAUCAAGCACCAUCUUGAUGAGCCUUGAAAUUGUGAGGAACUCCGCAACCAUAAUGAGGUGUAGAGUUGCAAGAACCACCACGGCCAGACAAACAAGUCUGAAACUACGAAGCCAAGGUUGGCUUUUUUAAAUCCAUCGCUUAUCUUUUUGAGUUGUAGACCUGAAACAUCAGAGAAGACUGCCAACACACAAAUAUAUUGUAAUGAGCCCAAAAAGAUAUUUCGAACAACAACCUCAUGCCGAGGUAAGUGAACCUCAUACUGAGGUAAGUGAACCUCAUACUGAGGUAAAGGAAGGCAAAACAAAUGCCUAACAGCUUCGUACUGAGUUAAACAAUGACUACCAAGAAGCAUAAGGUCCUCAUACUGAGGUAAUGGUCGUGAAUGGUUUCUUAUACGGAGGACAAGGAAUCCAAAUCUAAGGUAUGUUCCAUCCCAAAUAGAAACAUCUAGACGGAUCACAAGGGUCAUACUUUUCCAAGUUAUGCCUAAGAACAGGAAGAAAAAACGAAUUUUUCCCCAUAUGAAAUUAUAGAUCUGAAACCUGUAACCAUCGGUAGGGAGAAGCAGAGGCUUGACAAGGUUCACUCCAAGAGAAACAAUCAGCAAACAGACUGAGUCGGAUGUUGUUGUACAAUGAAGAGGGGACCUCGCAGCUGCUAAGGUGAAACAAUGGCAGGGGAAAGAGGACAGAUCCAGUGUGAUGAGAGUGACAGAAGCGUCGGGAGGAUCAGGAGGGUCGGGAGCAGAGACCCCAGCGAGUAGAUCUAGAGGAAAAACAAACGGCGGUGGCUCAGGAGGUGGGGGAAGGAGC
rnacentral:lncRNA from 1 species